rnacentral:rRNA from 1 species
AACGUAGGAGACAAACGUUAUCCGGAGUUACUGGGCGUAAAGGGCGUGUAGGCGGUUAGUUAAGUCUGGCGUGAAAGCUCUCGGCUAAACCGGGAGAGGUCGUCGGAUACUGGCAAACUAGAGGACGGUAGAGGCGUGUGGAAUUCCGGGUGUAGUGGUGAAAUGCGUAGAGAUCCGGAGGAACACCAGUGGCGAAAGCGACACGCUGGGCCGUACCUGACGCUAAAGCGCGACAGCAUGGGGAGCGAACGGG